rnacentral:rRNA from 1 species
UAGAGUUUGAUCCUGGCUCAGAACGAACGCUGGCGGCAGGCUUAACACAUGCAAGUCGAGCGCCCCGCAAGGGGAGCGGCAGACGGGUGAGUAACGCGUGGGAAACUACCCUUUGGUACGGAACAACUCCGGGAAACUGGAGCUAAUACCGUAUGUGCCCUUCGGGGGAAAGAUUUAUCGCCAUAGGAUGUGCCCGCGUAGGAUUAGCUAGUUGGCGGGGUAAUGGCCCACCAAGGCGACGAUCCUUAGCUGGUCUGAGAGGAUGAUCAGCCACACUGGGACUGAGACACGGCCCAGACUCCUACGGGAGGCAGCAGUGGGGAAUAUUGGACAAUGGGCGCAAGCCUGAUCCAGCCAUGCCGCGUGAGUGAUGAAGGCCUUAGGGUUGUAAAGCUCUUUCGCACGCGACGAUAAUGACGGUAGCGUGAGAAGAAGCCCCGGCUAACUUCGUGCCAGCAGCCGCGGUAAUA